AUGAUUUCAGAAGAUCAGGAGCAUAAGAAAAAGGAAGAUGAUGAUACUCAAAAGGACCUAAAUGAGAAGAUAAAGAAAAGUGCCAGACCCCCAGCAGGCACAGGGGCUCCAGCAGCCGCGGCGUGUCCUUGUCCUCCUUCGGGGGGCUACAGCGGCAUCCUGGCUGGGUCCAACGGGCUGCUUGCGGGCAACGAGAAGCUCACCAUGCAUAACCUCAACAACUGCCUGGCCUCCUACCUGGACAAGGUGCACGCCCUGGAGGCAGCCAACAGCAAGCUGGAGGUGAAGCUCCGUGACUAGUACCAGAAGCAGGGGCACAGGCCCUCCCACAACUACAGCCACUACUACAGGACCAUCGAGGACCUGUGGGACAAGAUUCUUGGUGCCACCAUUGAGAACUCCAGGAUUGUCCUGCAGAUCAACAACGCUUAUCUGGCUGCAGAUGACUUCUGAACCAAGUUUGGUUUGAGUGUUUGGGUGCUGGACGAGGUGACCCUGGCCAGGACUGAUCUGGAGGCGCAGAUCAAACGCCUGAAGGAAGAGCAGGCCUACCUGAAGAAGAAGCAUGAGGAGGAAAUCAAUGCCCUGAGGGGCCAAGUGGGAGACCAGGUCCACGUGAGGGUGGAUUCGGCUCGGACCUGCCAAGAUCCCGAGUGAGAGGCAAAGCCAAUAUGAGAUCAUGGCCAAGCGGAACUGGAAGGAUGCUGAAGCCUGGUUCACCAGCUGAACUGAGGAACUGAACCGGGAGGUCACUGGCCACAUAGAGCAGCUCCAGAUAAGCAGGUCCGAGGCCACUGACCUGCGGUGCACCCUCCAGGGUCUUGAGAUUGAGCUGCAGUCGCAGCUCAGCAUGAAAGCUCCCUUAGAAGGCACACUGGCAGAAACAGAGGCAUGCUUUGGAGCCCAGCUGGUGCAGAUCCAGGCACUGAUUAGCAGUAUUGAAGCCCAGCUGGGCGAUGUGCGAGCUGAUAGUGAGUGGCAGAAUCAGGAGUACCAGCGGCUCCUGGAGCAGGAGAUCGCCACCUAUCGCAGCCUGCUUCAGGGCCAGGAAGAUCACUACAACAACCUGUCCAUCUCCAAGGUCCUCUGA